rnacentral:rRNA from 1 species
GUACUGGUUGUGGAUGGGCUCACGGCCUAUCAGCUUGUUGGUGGGGUAAUGGCCUACCAAGGCGACGACGGGUAGCCGGCCUGAGAGGGUGACCGGCCACACUGGGACUGAGACACGGCCCAGACUCCUACGGGAGGCAGCAGUGGGGAAUAUUGCACAAUGGGCGCAAGCCUGAUGCAGCGACGCCGCGUGAGGGAUGACGGCCUUCGGGUUGUAAACCUCUUUCAGCACGGAAGAAGCGAAAGUGACGGUACGUGCAGAAGAAGCGCCGGCUAACUACGUGCCAGCAGCCGCGGUAAUACGUAGGGCGCAAGCGUUGUCCGGAAUUAUUGGGCGUAAAGAGCUCGUAGGCGGUUUGUCGCGUCUGCUGUGAAAGCCCGGGGCUUAACCCCGGGUGUGCAGUGGGUACGGGCAGACUUGAGUGCAGUAGGGGAGACUGGAACUCCUGGUGUAGCGGUGAAAUGCGCAGAUAUCAGGAAGAACACCGAUGGCGAAGGCAGGUCUCUGGGCUGUUACUGACGCUGAGGAGCGAAAGCAUGGGGAGCGAACAGGAUUAGAUACCCUGGUAGUCCAUGCCGUAAACGUUGGGCACUAGGUGUGGGGGACAUUCCACGUUUUCCGCGCCGUAGCUAACGCAUUAAGUGCCCCGCCUGGGGAGUACGGCCGCAAGGCUAAAACUCAAAGGAAUUGACGGGGGCCCGCACAAGCGGCGGAGCAUGCGGAUUAAUUCGAUGCAACGCGAAGAACCUUACCAAGGCUUGACAUACACCGGAUCGGCUCAGAGAUGGGUUUUCCUCCUUGUGGGGCUGGUGUACAGGUGGUGCAUGGUUGUCGUCAGCUCGUGUCGUGAGAUGUUGGGUUAAGUCCCGCAACGAGCGCAACCCUCGUUCUAUGUUGCCAGCACGUGAUGGUGGGGACUCAUAGGAGACUGCCGGGGUCAACUCGGAGGAAGGUGGGGAUGACGUCAAAUCAUCAUGCCCCUUAUGUCUUGGGCUUCACGCAUGCU